CCUUGUGAUCCACUCGCCUCGGCCUCCCAAAGUGCUGGGAUUACAGGUGUGAGCCACCGCGCCUGGCCAGCAAAAACAGAUCUUAAUUGGGGUUUUAUAGCAUUGAAUGUAUAUAUUAGAAAAUAAGAGAGAUCUACAAUCAAUUAUCUAAGCAUCCACAUAAGAAACUAGGAAAAAAAGAGCAAAUUCAGUUUAAAGUAGGUAAAAGAAAAGAAAGAAUAAAAGUUAGAACAGAAGUCAAUGAAUUUGAAAACAGGGAGUCAAUAGAAAAAAGUCAACAAAAUCAAAAGCUUGCCUUUAAAAGAUCAAUAAAAUCAUUAAGACUCUAGCCAGGCUAACUAGAAAAAGAGAAAGCAAACAAAUUAAUAAUACCAGCAAUGAAAGAGAGCAUAUCACUAUAGAUGCCAUAGUCAUUAAAAAAAUAAUACAGGAAACAAUAAAAUAAAUUAACAAUACAAAUAAAUAAAUAAAAUAAUAAAUAACAAAACAAUAAUAAAAAGAUAAUACAGGAAAACAAUAAAUAACUCACAAAUUUGAUAACCUACAAGCAAUGAAGUGAUUUCUUGAAAGACACAAUCUGCCAAAACAGGACAAAUCAACAACUCCUAUAUGAUGCUUCUCUACCAAGAAACUCUUCUGAUUUUAGCUUGUAGAAAUCUACAGCUCUAGCAGAGAACAUUUUCGUAGGUUGUCAUCCAAGUUUCCUGGGUGUUGUAGGGGGAGAAGAUCAGCAUGUACCUGUUUUCCUCUCUGCAGCUGGGCUUUUGACGUCUCAGUCAUUGCCCAUCCAAAACCUGUUGUAGUUUUUUAUUUCUCUCACUGACGAGGAGGACAUGAUAAUCCAAGGCAAUGCAAGAAAGGGGGAAAGUGGAAAUAGAGAGUGUUCCUCUAACUUAAUCCCUUGCUGCCACUUUUAGUUACCAUCAGUGCCUGGCUGCAGCUAUCCCUCCACAAAGAGUCACACAGACCCACAACAGUUCAUGAUAGCCUUCUGUCUUCCCAAGGAUUUCUCAUUUUUUUGUAAGUUCCUAAGAUCCAUGUUCUCCUUUAUUUCCAUAUAUUUGCUUUGUAGAGAAGGUUCCAGCAGGACAUGCUAGUUCUCCAUUCUGACAGGAAGAUGAAACCUCUUUUCAGAAUGGAGUUUAUAUUGGCCCCAGACAAUGGAUCAUUAUUGGUUUAAUUCUAGAAUGGUUUCUUGUUCUUUGCUUCCCAGCCUCUCUUGCAGCUAGACCUAGUCACAUGGCCCACUGUGCCCAAUAAAAUUAAAGGAAAUUCUGAUGUUGGACUUUUAGAAGUCCUUAUUAUUUCCUAACAAAAGAUUUAUCAUUUUAUCUUUAGCAUCUUGAAUAUAGAUGUGAUGCCCAGAAAAAAACCGCAGUCAUUGUGUAAGCAGGAGCGGAAAGACAAAAGAACAGCAGAGGCUAACCCUGAUAUCAUUGACCUUGUGAACGGAUGCCAGCAUCUACCUACUUCCAGAUUGCUUAGUUAAAAAAAAAAUUGUUAUGCCACCGUUAAUUGUGGUUAAUAUUAUGUGAAACAUGCAAAUGACCAGCUUUUUAUUUUACACAAUAGUUUCUAAGAGGAAAAUAACUAAUAUUUAGGAAAUACUUAGGAGUUUCAAGGUAAUUGUGCCAGAGACUCUAAAUAAAUCAUUUCAAUUACACUUCAUAGAAAGCCCGCAUGGAGUUAUACAAUUUCCAUUUUUUUGAUUAGAGAAUUUGGGCUGAGGGAAGGGAAAUAACCUUGCUGAGGGCUAAAAUUUAAAUAUAGGUCUGCUUUUUCCAAUAUACCGUAUUACCUGCCCAAUCUAUCUGUUUAUAAUACCAAAUGGAUCUACAUGUGGGAAUUCAUAUAUUUACAGUGACUUUUAACUAUUUUCCUUGUCCCAGGGAGGCUUGUUUUUGUAAAUGGCACUCAUUUCUGUUUAACAUUUACAGCCCUAAUUCCUUUGGUUCUCAAGAUUUUUUACCAUUAUAUUGCACUAUCAUAAGGCAAACCCCCUUGAGCGGGCAUGCUCUUAAAUACUUACCAGCUAACAGAUAAUAUAGUAUUGAAAUCUAGCCUGGAGAGAAUGGGGCAUGAGCUAGGCACUUGAUGAUGGUUCUGAAAAGGGAGGUUAAAAUUUCCCAAAGACAGUCUUUGUCUCCUGUGCUAUUCUGUUUAAGACAGGUCCUGGGGAUAUGAUGUCCUUUAUUAUUAUUAUUAUUAUUAUUAUUAUUAUUAUUAUUAUUAUUAUACUUUAAGUCUUAGGGUACAUGUGAACAACAUGCAGGUUUGUUACAUAUGUAUACUUGUGCCAUGUUGGUGUGCUGCACCCAUUAACUCGUCAUUUAGCAUUAGGUAUAUCUCCUAAUGCUAUCCCUCCCCACUCCUGCCACCCCACAACAUCUAUGAGGGAAUUAAUCUAUGAGGGAAUACAGACCAGUGACCUCAGAAUAGAGAGGUGAGAUACAAUGUGUGACAAAAAAAAAAAAAAAUCUAAGCAACAGAAAAGACACUGUCCUGCCUUUCUCUUAAAUCCACUUUGCACUUUGUGUAUGAAAGAGAAACCAGGCUUUGUCACUGGCACUGACAAGGACCAGUAGCAGAUCCGAAGAGGAUGUCAGACCACAGCAAAGGCGUUAACCAAAGCACCCACAGUGUUAUGUAGCUUUGAGCUACAGGGAAUAACGAGUCUCUGUCUUGAUUUGUUUUUGAACAAGGGAAGCACUUAAAGAGAUGGUAAAUAGGCUUUGUUUUGAAUUUUUUAGUUUUGUGCCUAGACCAAGUAAUGUGAUCAUUAUUAUCCUUGAAAUAUUUUUAUCCAUUUCUAGUAAGUUGCAGAAUAUUCUAAUUUUGGAGAAUAAGUUAUUCCAGUUCAUUUCGUUGCUGCCUUAAACAAUGAAGAAUGCAAACUUGACCACAAAGACCUCAAUAAUCAACUCAUAGAGAAUCAUAAAAUUUUACCUCUCAUCAGGACCUUAGAGAGCAAAGAGUUCCGUCUCAAGGUUUCAGAGAUGAAUAAACAGAUCCAGAGAGGUUAAAUGACUUUGACCAAGGUCACAGUGUUCAUCUACAACUGCACUGGGACUAUAACCAAGAACUCCUGAAACUGUUUCAUUGUAAUUCUACCACUCCAUGAAGCUUUCAUAGGGCAAACUGCAUAUAAAUAUAUUAAAGGGCUCCAAACUGCAAGACAAUUCUAGAUUCAUAUUCCAUACCCAUCUACGUUACACAAAUUACCAAAUCUUCCCCAUGUUAAAAAAAAAUAUGUGGAGUGGUCAGCAUUGUGAUUGUACACACACAGACACACACACACACACAGAUACUUAAAACUUUAUUAUAUUUUAAAGAUGUGCCAAGAUAUUUUUCAUAGGUUUACAUAUUUACCAGUAUAAAUCAUAAAGAAAGGGUAUUUCAGUAGAUUGAUUUAACCCAGGAUUUUGUUCUUCUAAAAUACAUGGAUUCUCUUUAGAGAUUACAAACCAUAUAGCUUUGUAUACAUUAUAAAUAACAUAUACAUAUUUUAAUACUUCCAUUAAGGAAGAAUAGUAAAUCAUAAGUGUUUUGCAACUGGACUUUAAUCUAUGCCAGAGAAAUGCCCUUGUUAUUCUGUUGUUUCUUGGGUUGUCCUUUAUCAUUUUCCUUGCUGGCCUAAUCACUUAAAAUAUAACCUUGGAAAAGUACCUUACUUUUCUGAGUUCUAACUAUUUAAAAAAACUAUGGAUAAGUACAUUUAUAAAACUUUCUCCUUAUUUCCUUAUUACAGUUUUUAUUCUCGUUCUGCAAAGAAAUACACCUAAGUCAGUCCCUCUUUUUCACUCAAAUUUCUCACUUCCUAUAGCAAAUGCUUAAAAAAAAGGUAGGAACUGACUGCACUCCCCCUUCUGGUAGUAUUUUAGCCACAAGACACACAUUGUUGGGCCAUUUGAGAUGUGAUUAAAGCUCAACUAGCCUACUUCUCCCACUGGAGAGAACUUGUUACCAAAGGAGAACGGUCUAUUACUGCCAAUAAAAAUAGAAUCAAGUGUGUAUGUGUGCAUUAUAUAUCACAAAAAACCUUUCAAUGUUUUAUCUCAUUUCAUAUUCACAACAAUAUUGUGAGGAAAAUAUUACUUCUGAGUUCAGAUUAAGAAAGUGUGGUUAUUUCAUAAUGUAUGAUUAUUUACACAAAUUAACAGUUCAUAUCAAUUAUUAAUUACUUAUGAAUUACUCAUAUCAUUUCCCAGAUAAACAAUAAUUGCAAAUAAAAUUUAUUGAGUUUCUCCCAUAUUUAUUGACAAAUCCUAAGACAUAUAAAAAUAUCUCCAUUUUUCAUAUGAGCAAACUAAUACUUAGCAAAUAUAAGUCAUUUGUCCAAGUUCACACAGCUAACAAGCAGUAGAGUUGAAUUUGAAUUCAGUCAGUAUGCGUAUAUAGCCAAUAGUUAAAAAUGCAGUUAAGCUAUGAAAAUUGUCAAGAAAUAAAAUAAAGACAUGAAGAGGAACAGGAAACAAAUGAAAUCAAUUAUAGUUAUUGCUAAUAUAGUUAAUGUUAUUGAUCAUAAAUUUUACCUAGAGGUUUCCUAUUGGCAACAGAGCUGAAAAGGAAAACGUGGUUGAUUCAGUAACAUCUCUUUCCUAAUUUUGUAAAGUUAAAAAGGGAGCUGCAAAGAAUUGAAAAGUAGAGAUAUAUAUGUCAUUGAAGUUAAAUAAUGAAAUAAUUUCUCUUUGGUGAUCUAAUGUCCACAAACGUGGUAUAUGUGCUGGGUCUACUCCACUGCCUUCUCUGAACCCCUUCCUGGGCUUCUGUCCUCCUCCGCCUUGCCUUAGAGGUGACCUUAACGACCCACAUCAGUGUAUUUCCUUACCCUCUUCUCUUAGGUUUUUCCAGUGGAGGACAAGCAGAUAAUUUGAGGGCCAACGAUGGAACAGUAAGGUUUAUGUAUUUAUUCUUCCUGCUGGGUCACUGUGGAUCAUCUGUGUCCCUCUGUUGCAGACUACCUGUCAGGCAGCCCUCUCAGAAUUUGGGCAAUUGCUCCUUCCCUGCUCCUUCGGACAUAGGGUUAGCCACCCAGUAGAGCUACUGAGUUCCAUCCUGGUACUGGGGAAUGUCUAUAGAGACUCCUGUGAUGUGAUCCAUCUUCAGAUCUUGCAGCCAUGACUACUAGCACCUGCUCCAGGUCCCACGUGUUUCAAUGGACAUUUGUCUCCAUCAUAGCCACAUCACACCACAGAUUUGAUUUUUCAGUUCAUUUGGUCAAAUGCCACUCAAAACAAGAAAUGCUAAAGGAGAAGAAGAGUCCAGUUCAAGAUCUGCAUUUCAUUUCUGAUGUUGGCCCAACAACUUUUUCCUUCCAGUUUCUCGGAAGCCUGCCUCCAUAGUUCUCUUUUCCCCCAGUUCGCCCAAGAAUUUAAAGUGAGAAUUCAGAAUAUUCUUUCCCCUUUUCCCCUACUAAUGAUUCAACAGGUAGUAUGAAUUUUCCAUAUUCUGUUUAAUGCUAGGCAUCAGAUUUUCAGAGUUUCUAGCCUCAUUUCCUCUGAAACCAUUAUUUUUGCUGUGUAGUAUCUCUGUCUAAGGUUGUAUUUUAAAAGAUUCCCAAGUCCUUUGUACUAUGACAAGCAUGGAAUAUAACUUUACUAUUGACAAAGAACAAAGAGAGAUCAGAAAUAAAAACACUGGGAACUGUACACAAGCUCUGUAACCUCCUUUCUUGAGACAUUCUGAAACUUGCUAUAAAGCAAUUUAUAUGAAAGCAUUCUCAUGUACAAUAUUUCACACAAUCCCCAUAUUAAUACGAAGUGAAGUCAUCAAUCUCCACUUAAAUUUACAUGUUAAGAGACUAGCCUUUGACAUGUAAAGUAACUCACCCAAGGUCACGUAGCUAGUAAAUGGCAAAAUGGAGAUUUUUAACUAGGUUUAAUAAAUCCAAACCAUUCCCCCAAACUAUUUUGUUGUCCAAUAAGAGUUAGAGAAAUUGCGGUUUAAAAACAGGAAAUAGAUUAACAUCAAUGAGAAUAGGCACUAUAAACAGUAGCUAUGAUCUAUUGGGCCUUUCCAACACAUUACAACAGGCUGUGGGUAUCUGCAUGAAAUAUGCAUAGCAUUGCAAUGGGAAAGAGGAGCUAUGAGCCUUUCAGAAUAAGUGGGCCAAACGCAGUGUAGAAUGCUCCCUACAGUUGCCCUUUUGUGAAAUUCACACUCUAAUCACAUAUUCAAUGUUUGUCUUUGUGGAGAAUAUACUCUCUACAAAGGGAAACAACCUUAAUUCUCCUAAACAUAGACACCAGGAAGAAAAAUAAGGUUAAUUUCUUCAUUCUAGAUUCUAGCUGAUGCCAGCUCUAGAGCUUCCAGGUUGCCCAGGACUAUACCAGAAGCCUUUACUUCAUCCUAUGCAUAAUAUUGACAAAUAAGCUUAUGUUUUAAACACUGAUUCUCUGAAAAAUGUUUUAAAUCCAGCCAUGAAGUGUCCAUAAGCUAACAUAUACAUUACUUUUACAAGGUGCACUCUGGAAGGAAUCCUUUAAAAAGUUAAAAUUUAUUUACGUAAGCUAUGUAGUUGUGUGGCCACUAUGAAAGAAUACUUAGUCAGUAGAACACAGAAAGAAAAUGAAAUCAGGAGUUAUGCUACAUCAGAUGGAAGAAGCAAUGCAGUGUCUGGUAAGGAAAACAAACAAACAAAACAUGAGUUGUCCAGGACUAGCUCUACUAGAAGCAGUGUAACAUGUUGGAAAUAGCUCUUCAAUCAGAAAGUCUGGUCUCCUUAUAUACUAGCUAUGUAGCUUUAGACAAUCCAUUUAAGUCCCUGAAACUUCUCCCAUAUUUUAAUAAAAAUAUCUUUUGAGAUAACAUCCACAAGCACUUUUAAAACACAUAUAUGUAAUUAGUAAGGACUGGGGGACAGGAGUAUGCUGUAAAAUGCUCUGCAAAUAUAAUUUCAUGAAAACACAUAACUACACUGGUGAUAUUAAAUGGACUUUAAUCAGUGGUGAUAAAAGAUGGUCAAUUGUCUAUAUAAUGGAUAACAUGGUAGCCAUUUUUCAACUUCAAGUUUAAGCUUCAAUGAACCCUCAUUUCCUCAAGCCCAUAAUAUGGCCAGUAAUUAAAAUUAUAUUUCUGGUUUUAGUUGAAACUUCUAUGAUUCAAGUGGUUUUGCAGCCCUUCUCACAUCAAAAUAUACAGAGAGCCAUUUGGCUAUUUUCAUAAUACUGAGUUGGUUGGUUUAAUAUCAAGGUUAUUUUUGUUUUGUUUUGUUUAGCUAUAUAGGUCUACUGGUUACUACUGCAACGUUUAAAUUAGGUUCAUGCCUCCUUCUGUUAACAAAGAUUAAGACUCAUGUCCUGAUUGCCUCUGGAAAAUGUUGGGUAAAAGGAAAAUAAGUACUUUUGGCAGCGAAGUGAUCCAUCCACUCGGAAUAACUGACCUAGAUAAAUGGGCUCUGAAAUGGGGACUGAUUAGCCUUCCUAUCAUUAGAUAGGCAUACAGCAGGCCUUACCUUCUGUCUCUUUGUUUAAUGUACUAAGAAGUUUUCUUAAGAACUUGUCAAAGGGUACAACGGUGGAUGAGGCACAACCCCAACUGUGUCCAUAGUAGGCAGACUGAAACCACAGGUCAUCCAGCAUUUUGAGAAAUGGGGAAGGUGCAUGCCGUCUUCUGCCAAAUUUAUCUAAACAAAACAUGUGUGAGGUUAUUAAGAAUUAUAAAGACUUUACAGGCUAUUUUUAUAUAGGAUCCAAAUCAAAGGGAAGGAAGAUUAAAGCCAACACAAUUUCCAUUUAUUUUACAGUGCAGCACAGUUGAGGGCAAGAAGUGAGAGUGGGGAAUACUUAACUUGGCAUCAGAAUACCAGGAUUACAGACCUAACUCUUACAUUAAAUUGAAAUGUGAUCUUUGGAAAAGCUAGCAUAAAUAAUGUUUUAAAGGCAUUUUCAAUUAUAACAUUAUAUCAUUCUUGAUUUAUAUUCUUGAUAACUAAAAGAGAAACCACCAUUGUUCAUUUUUUUGGCCAGUUGCAUGCCAUUCCUUUCCUACAUCUGUCCAGAAGGUCAAAAGCAGAGUCUAAAUUAGGGCAUCUCCAAAAGACAAACAGCAUGGGGCAUGUUCAAUAUCAGCUUAUUCAGGACACAACAAAAGACAUGUUCUAAAAUUUAUCCUAUGACUAAGCCUCAAGUGGAGACUUUAAAACUGUCCUCUAUUUUCAGAUCUCUUUAUUUAAUGUUUCAUGGAAUCUGAAAAAUGUGGAGGAGAGAGAAUCACUUUUCUUUUCAGUCAACACGAUGCCAUGACAACCAGUUAAAAUGUGAAGGAUUGUCAAAUCAACAAUUGUUUUGUCCACAUGAUGCCAAAUAACAACCAGUUUGAGUGAUUUGUUUUUUAAGUACAAAUUUGUUCAGUUGUUGAAGCACGUAGAUACACGCUCCUUAAUAAUCAUACCUUUUAUUUUCUUCACAGUGUACAAACCAAUUUCAAACAUAUUAUCUCAUUUUUAUUCUGAUUUUUCCAACAAGCUCUGGACUGUCAGUAGAGCAUUAUUAUACAGUAUUACUGUAUUUAUUUUACAAAUGAAGAUUAUAAGUGGGAUUUAAGUUGUAUAAGCAUAACUAUCCCAAUUAAUUUGCUCUAUUUUCUCUAAAUGAAACUGAAGAAAAUACAGUGUUUUGCACAUCAGAUUGUAGUAUGUAAAUUUUGCCUGGCCCAAAGAACAUGUUCAGCAAAUGGUGUUUAACAGUAUUUUACUAUUUUCCAUUAUCAACAGUGGAGUGUCCGCUUCCCCACUGGAUUAUUGUUCUUCCAUGUAUAGGCAAAUGUUGAACACCUUCAUUCUCUUCUGCAGCCUAGGUCCUGGAAAAAUAGAGGCCCUUUCCUUUGGCACCUAGGUUUGUCUCCUUUACUUCUGUUGAAAUAGAUAUCACCUCAAAUAUAAUUCAGUUCCAACAGACUGAGUCUACUGAAAUUUCUUGACUAACAUUGUAAAGAGAUGGAGGCUUAAGAAAGUAAUUUGGUCAAGAUUACUUGAUGAUAAAUGUUGUAAUCAAGACACGAAUCCCUGUCUAUAUCACUUCAAAGCCCAUUCUUCAAACAUGUUUCAAAACUUGUUUUCAGAUUUAAUGUCAAAUCCUAAAAUUCUUGUUAUCCUGGAGCUCCCCACUCAUUGUCCCAGUGGUUUUCUGUACUCUUAGGGAAGGGUAGAUACUGAGUAGAAAUGGAAACUAUUGCUCAACUUUAACUGUUAAAUCUUGCUUUUAAGAUUUCGUUUUAUUUUAUUUAGUCCCUAGACACAAUGUUCUUAAAAGCCAAGUAAGAUUGAGGAAGAAAAUGCUUUUCUUAAUUUUUUUUCAGCUCCUAUUAAAAUAGCAAGUGCUGGCCCUAAAUCCCAGAGCUGUGGACGGAGAGAAUCUGCCAUCUGGAUCAGCCUAACCUGUGAUUUAUUCACUUUCUCACUCAACAGACUUUAUUGAGUGCCAACUAUGUGGGGAACAACACAGACUCAUGGAAAUUCAUGAAAUUUGCAGUCCAGCAGGUGACUUAGAUAUUGACUAAAUAGUAAAAAGUAUGAUAUACCGAGGUACAGGAUACUGUUGGGGACAUUUAACAGGGAGUGAACUUAGUCUGGGGCUCAGAGUAAGCUAUCUUCCAAGAGAGAGAUGAUAUUAGUGCUGCAACCUAAAGUAUGAAUACAAGUCAGCUGGAAUAGAGCAGAUUCAGGUAGCUGAAAAAAUAUAUUCAAUGUUUGGAUGGUUAGUUGUGUGUGUCAACCUGGCUAGGUUAUAGUAUCCUGUUAUUUAAUUAAACACUAAUCUAAGCAUUGCUGUGAGGGUGUUUAUAGAUGUCGUUAACGUCUACCACCAGUUGGCUUUAAGAAAAUUUUCUUUGAUAACAUGGAUGGGUCUCAUUCAAUUAGUUGAAAGGCAUUAAGACAAAAGCUGAGGUUUCCCUGAGGAAGAAGAAAUUCCAUCUCUGGACUGCAGCUUCAACUCUUGCCUGACAGUUCAGCCCUUGGGCUGCUCUAUGUAAUGCUUGCCAGACCCCACAAUUGCAUAAGCCAAUUCCUUGCAAUAAAUCAUAUAUAUGUACACACAGAUACACAUGUAAACAUAUACACACAUUAUGAUUCCUCUAUUUCCCCAUAAGCCUCUCUCUAUAUAUAAUCUAUAUCUAUAUCUAAUAUAAACAUAAUAAAACGCUGACUGAUAUAACUUUUUGCUCUAGGAAGUGAGGUAUUACUGUAACAAAUACUUUAAAAUGUAGAAGUGGCUUUGGAAUGGAGGAAUGAAUAAAGGCUGAAAAAUUUUUGAGGAACAGGAUAGAAAAAUCUUACUUUGAAGAGAUUUUUGGUGAGAAUAUGAAUGUUAAAGGUAAGCAUUUAGAAGAUAAUGAAUAAAGUUACUGGAAACUGGAGAAGAGUAAAUUCUUGCUAUAAAGUAGCAGAAAACAUGAUGGAAUUGUAUUCUACAGGUAGGUGAAAAGCAGAACAUGUAAGCAAUGAACUUGAAUAUUCAUCUGAGGAUAUUUCCAAGAAAAGCGUAGAAGGUGUAGGCUGGUUUCUUCUUACUGCUUUUAGGUGAAUGCAAGAGGAAGGAGAUAAAUUGAGGAAGGAACUGUUAAGUAGAGAGAAAUAAGCACUUGAUGGUUUGGGAGAUUCUUAGCCUAUCCAGAUUGCAAAGGAUGUUAAAAUUAAGAAAAUCAUGGUUGAGAAACUACAUUCCUGAGAAAAGUCCAAGUGUGUGGCUAAACAAACUUUUGCUGAAGAGAUUAUAUUUGUGACUCAUGAGUCCACUCAACCUUCUGGACAAAAGCCAGGUGUAGUUAUGGAAUUAUCUAGGAAAGACCUGUGGAGAAUCCUUUUGUCCAAUGGCAUGAAUCACCUUGAUAUAGAGGGGAAGCCUAUAAGGUUUCUGAAAAUGUGAUACCAGCAGAACACUGUCAGCCUGGACAAAAGAAACAGAGACCAGAUGAAAUGAUGGAAGGUUAUCAGACUUCCAAAAUUCUGCAGGCACAAAACAUGCUGAUAGAGCUACCUGACUGCAAACAUCUGCUCUUGUUCAAGAAAAAGGAAGAAUGAUUCAGAGGGCAAUGGAGCUGCCAGCAAGGGCAUGGAGGGUGAGGAAGCUGCCACUUAGAGUGCAGGAGGCAGAACGGUGAGGCAAAUCAUUAUUCUCAGGCCUUCCAAUCUAACAGAAUUUGCCCUCCUGUAUUUCACACUUGUUUAGAACUAGUGACCCCUUUAUUCCUUCCAUUUCCUGUCUUUUGGAAUGGGAAUAUCUAUCUCAUGCCUACAUCAUCAUUGUAUUUUGUAAGCAGGUAACUUGUUUUCAAGUUUUACAGGCUCACAGAUGAAGAGGAAUUUUAUGUUUGGAUGGAUCAUCCCUAUAGUCUCACCGAUAUCUGAUGUAGAUUAUUUCAGUGAUGAGAUUUGGGACUUUUUGUGUUUAUAAUAUUCUGAUGCGAUUUGGAACUUAUAGUUAAUGCUAUAGUGGACUGAGACUUUUGAAUAUAUUGAGACGAAGUGAAUGUAUUUUGCAUGUGGAAUGGUUAUAAAGUUUCUGGUGCCAGAGGACAGAGAGCGUAGGUCAAACUGUGUCCUUACAAAAGAUACGUUCACUUGGAAGUUCAGCAUAUUUGCUUAUUUGGUAUAAGGGUAUUUUGCAGAUAAACUAGGUGAGGAUUUUGAGAUGAGAUAAUCCUAAAUUAGAGUGAGCCCUCAAUAUAAUGAUAAAUAUCCUAAUACAAGACAGAAGAGGAAAAAACACAGACACACACAGGGAAGAAGGCCACAGGAAGACUAAGGCAGGAAUUUAAAUGAUGCCUAUAAGAGCCAAGGAAUGCCGAAGAUUGCCUGCAAGCACCAGAUGCUGGGAGUUAAGGGGUGGAAUGCAAUCUCCCUCAGAGAGAACCCCUAGAAGGAUACAGCCCUGCUGAUACCUUGACUUUGGAUAUAUCUGUCUUCCAGAUUAGAAAAAAAAAAAAUCUACUUCUAACAUUUUGAGCCACUAAGUUUGUGAUCAUUUGUUAUGGCAGUUUUAGAAAACUAAUAUAAAAGUCUUGAGUUAUCUGAGUCAGUGAAAGAAAAAAAGAAGAAAAGAAAAAAGUGAGCAAGGCUGGAUCAUAUAAAAAUAGGGGUAACUGGACAUGAGUGUAAAGAAUUAGCCAAAGGCUGACAUUUCCCAAUCCCUAAGGGCCACUAAAGGAUUUUUCUUCAGAAAAUGAUAUGAUCAAAUUUGUCUUUUUGAAGGAUGUCUCUGGCCACCUGUCAGAAAAAUGGCUUGUUACUGGUGUGGAGAGAGAGGUGGCAGAGUGUCAGAACAAAGUAGAAAUUCCAAGAUCCAAGCAAAAAAAAAUUAGAAUGCAAGAGAAUAGUGAAAAUUGAAGAAAUGAACCAAGCAAGUACAAAAGAAGACAAGAGGCCUUUAGCUUAAGAAAAUGCAAAAAUAAUGAUAAUCAAAGUUAUUUCAGGUUAUUUAAUGCCAGUGCAUGACUAGAAAAUAGGAGACCUUCACAAUAGGAUAGACCUCAGUGCACAUGUUCCCUCAGAAACCUUGCUUUUGGGCAAAUUGACUAAACUGUCUGAGCCAAGUUUAUCAUCUUAAUAGUAGAUAUAUUUUUAGACUUGUUGAAUGGAUGAGAAAUUUUACACUCUAACAUAAAAGGUGAGUAGAGCAAAUUUCAAAAGAGGAAGAAGGAAUCUCUUUAUUCUUUUUCUCCUUUUAUUUCUCCUAUCAUUAUUUUAAAUACUGUUCCUAGCAGCUGAUUAUCCUAACCUUUCCAUUCUCCAUUAGCUAAACCUGGAUUCUACCAGCUUUAUCAGUUUCUCUCUCUCUCCUUCCAUCAUUUUGAUACGUAAAACCACUACUAUGAUUUCUCUGUUUGAUCUCAAGUCUUUUCUCAAACCAGCUCCUUUUCUUCCUGCAGCCACACACAUGAAUGAACAAACACAAACAUAUCUAAGAAAUAUCAAUUUGUAUUCCUUUCAUCAGGAAUCAAUAGAGCCACAAUCUACCAGCAACUGGCUCUUCCUGUAAUUUGCACUGAUUUAGGUUAUUUGUUUUUAUUCAAUUACUAACGCUUAUUUUUCCAACUAGCUUAGACAUACUCCAGGAAAGCAUUCUACAUUUAUGUUAGAGGAAGUGGAGGGUUUAUCCCACUGUCAUAAUCGGCCUAGAUUCCAGGUCUUAUUUUCAAUCCCUAAAAAAAGACUUUCUUAUGAUUCUUUAUAAUCUAGUCAAAUUCUGUCUUCCCUUAUGUUUUGUUUGUUUGUUUGUUUUUAAGAGUAUCAGAAAUAAUUGGAGAUGAUGCUGUUUGUUUUGACUCCCACUCUUUCUACUCCUUAACAUGAAAGAUCAGAGUCUGGGCUCUCUACUCUUCCCAAAGUGUUACAUCCUCUGGCCCAUCUUUAUUCCUUUGCUCACAUUCUUACUCCUGCUCAAGUGUAUUCCCACCCCUUCCUGCCCAGCCAAUCCCUAUUCAUGUUUAAUGGCUGAAGCACUUUCCAAAAUCUUCCCAGACUACUCCAGCCUACAUAGCCCUUCUCUUUUACACUGUAUGAAUUUAAAGUCAAUAUGAAAACCUAAGUUUCUAAAUUUUACACAGUUUUAUUAAUACGUUUGACACCAAUCUCUCAACUUACUAUACCAUAAACUACCUGAAGUAAAAAUUAUAUCUUAUAUUUUUUGCAAACAUCAAAGCACAGGUAAUAAAUAAGAAAUGCUAUAAAAGCCAUAAAUAUUAUGACCGAAAGCAGUAGGGGGAUAAAAAGCAUGCAAAGGAAGUCUUUUUCAAACCACUUCUAGCCAUCCAUACUUCUAGAUAUAUGACCAGAGUUGUGAACCUCCCUGUGUAGUUCUCAGACUUCAUACAUCGGUGAUGCUGUUUAAAUGCAGCUCCCGAGACUCCUCCUGCAAGGAUUCUGUAGUGAUGCUUGGGUAGCUACCUUUUACCAAGGCAAUCCAGUGAUUCUUAUUCAGAAGACUGAAGGACAAUCUUGUGAGAAAUAUCACUCUAGGGAUAAAGUAACAAAACUACAUGUCCUAGGAACUAACACUGAGCAGGAAGAAGAGAAACACAGGCUGUAGCCAGACAUUCAGGUAAUCUCCCACUUCCUGUAAAUUAUAGUCUGGAAUUUUGGACUCUCAGCCUCUCCAUCUCUUACUAACUACAAUGUCUCCAAUUCCUCACUUGGCAAUCCUACAGUUAAAGUUCCUUUCUAGACUUUUACUUUUUACUAAACACUCAUCUAAUACUUGCUAUGAUCUAGUGAGUCUUGUAUACACAUACUAGUUAUUUUAACAUGAAAUUUGUGAGAUAGAAUCCCUUUACUGUCUUCAUGUUAUAGAUGAGGGAACUAAGGCACACAGCAGUAAAAUAACUUGCCCAAGGUCAUAGACUAAGUACAUAGCAGAGCUGAGAAUCAAACCCAAGCAAUCUGGCUCCAUAGCCUGCAAUCUGAACCACCAUAAAACCAUCACAAUGUACUGCCUCAUCAGUUCUGCAUUUCAGACAUAUUGCAUGCUUUUCCCAGUUUCUGAUGUCAAUACAAUCAAUAGAUAUUCAAUAUUUAUUACGUGUCAGCUAUCAUAAUAUGUACUAGGACUAUAACCCCAGAAUAAAACUCCAUCUGUGCUUUCAAGAAGCCUAUAUUAUAAGGUAGAAUCCAGAAAAAUAAAUGAACAUAUAACUAAACAUAUUGAUAAGUAUUAAUAUCACAAUAGGGACAAGAAGAGGAUAUUAUGGGAGCACAUAGGAAGGAAACUUAUCAUAGUCUUGGGACUGAAAAGACUUUCCAGAGGAAAUAUCAUCUAAGCUGAAGUCUGAAAGAGCUCUUGCAAACAAGUUAAGGUUGAUGGACUCACAGUACUGAGGUGUCUAGAGGAAGAUGGACAUGAGAGAAUGUCAUGGUCAAAGGUAAAGGCAUAUGCAAAAAAUGUGAGGCAAAAGAAAGUUUGGUAAAUUUCAGAAACUUUAGGUUGUUCAUUGUCAUCAUACAGAAAAGUAAAAGAAGGUCAAUGGUAACAGACAAAUAAAGGAGAAAAUGUUUCUUGGGAUCUUUUUAUUUCUUUCUUUUAGAUGCUAACCCUAAGGAAUCCAUUCAAACUCUUGAUUACUCUCCAUGCUGAACAGGUUAGUCUGAAGUAUUCUUGACCCAUGAAACGGAAUUAAUCAAAUCCUAGUGGCUCAGCGAAGCUCACCUUAGACCUUUCAUCUGAAAUUAAUAUGUUAUGAUUGAUUAAUACAACUAAUGGAUACCGUAUUUCUGAGCAUACCGACAUAUGACAACACAAUUCUUUUCAAACAAAGAGGAUUCAAAAUUCUAUGUGUAUAGAUAGCCAAUAAACAAAAGCUUUAAAGUCAAUAUAAUCUAAUACCUGAAAACUUGAAAUUUUUUUUGUAGUUGUUUAAACAGUUCUAAUUUAUAGUUAGGGACUUUGAUUUUCAAUCUUCAUUAACAAGCACAGUGCAAUAAAGAUGGAUCACUGUAUUAAUGAAACAAAAUUAUUAUGUGUUAUUUAUACAGGACAGCAAUAAAAUGAGACCAAGAAGAUUAAGCAUUCUAGCAUGCUGUAAUUUAUGUCAAAGUAAUGUCCUCCUUUGAAGUCAGAGUCUGGCUUAAACAAUGAAGCAGGAAAAAUGUUCAAAACAGCAAAGGGGACUGGGAAAGUAAAAAUCCAGUUUCAUGUAGAAUAUCGAAAAUAUUUUGGCCAAUUUAAAAGAAAAAUCACUUAUAGAACAUAAUCUGAGAAAAAAGAAGGUGGAAAACAGCUUAGUAUCUCUCCCUAUCUUAGUUUGCCAUACUUAGUCAAAGUCAUUUGAAAAGCUACAUUCGUAAGAGCUAGUGAGGUAAAGUGUUUCAAAUGUCCUCAGUGCACUCUUUGAGGCUCUAUGGGACAGUGAAACCCUGAUUCACCUGUUAGGGAAAACACACACAAAAAAACACUUGACAUGUUUAGAGAUAUUCAGUUCUUAAAUGAAUAAUCUUCAUUAUUAACAAAUGGCUUAACAAAGAAAGCCAGUGUUACAAGUAUGCCGAACCCUUACUCCUAACUGCAUUUAUCCCUACUAAAACUAUAAAGUGUCUCUUUGAAAUAAAAUUUUGACAAUAAACAAAUAGUAUGGUUCUUUGCAAUUUUUCUGAGUCCUAAUUUUUAAAAAAUGCAUUAAGGAUGUCAUUUUUAAUCUGGGCCCCACCAAGAGAUUUGCAGCAAUGUAUCAGGGAAAAAGCAAAGCCAGGGAUAUAAACCUAUUGCAUCACCAUAUAGAAGCAAUUUAACUGAAUAAUUUUGGGGAAAAGUUUUUUUCUUUCUUUUUUUGUUUUUAUUCUUAAGAGGUUUUGUCACACCCACUUACAACCAAAAUUAGUUUUUGGGUGGAAGCCUAGAAAGUAGAAGUUUUUAUGGGCAGUAAGUGAUUGUCAAAUUCUGUACUUGUGUGUUGUGAAAAGGCCCAUGAUAUUAACACUGCGCUGAAUUAAAGGAAAUACCAUAAAUUAUGGUAUUCUUGUAAUCAUCAAGACUGGUGUUUUUUUAGAGCUGAAAUUUACAGGUUUUUCUCCUGAAUGUCUUUUUUAAAAUUACAUACACUCUCUCACACACACAAAUAUCACUGGCUCACCAAAAUUAUUCCAACCUCCUACCACAAUUUUUUCAUGUAUAUUUUUUCUUAAAUAUAGGACUUCCAUUUUCCCAUAUUGUAGAAGAAACAAAAAUUCUGGAAUUUGAGGCUGGGCAUGAUUUUAGUAUUAUAUUGCUUUUGCAUUUUAAAACUUUAAAGAUUUUAAGUAUUUUUGAUAAUGAAAAGAAACAAGUUUCAAAAAAGUUUGAGGAAAAUUCUGAACAUCAAGUUUUGUCAUCUGUAAAUGUAGAUAAUAGCUGCCUUGUACUUUUACAAGGUAUAAUGAACACAAAGGUACUUUUCAAUCUGUAGAAUACCAUAUGAAUGUCUAAUAUUUCUGUUUUCAUAGUAUAAUCACAUUGCCUCAUAUAACAUUUUCCCCUAUACACAAAAAUACAAAACUCUAAAAUAGUUCUCAGAAAUACAAUUAAUAUAUACUAAAAAUCUUAGUGCAAAGAGCACGAGUGACCUGACCAGCAUUAAUAGUGACCAGCACGAUGCAGAUAUUUAUACAUAUCUGAUUUUUUUAAAUAAAAAUGUGUUGAAUAUUUUAUCUGUCAGACUCCAGUCAGGAGAUAUAAACCACACUAGUUAUCUUAACAGAGUUAUAGUGAAGAAUUAAAAGCGUAGAAAGUAAACAUUAAGGUGUCACAGAGGUAAAGGGAAAAUAUCAUUGCAAAAGUAGCCAUCAUUCAAAGGGAAUAGGUUAGAAUUACUUAAACUCAGAUGCUAGAGAAGAAGCACAUGAAUCUGACAUUCGGACCUCUGAGGAUGAGGAGCUCCUUGACUGAUGCUGGAAUCUGCAAGCCUUGCAGGUGGAUGAAGGGGGGUACGAGGUCCAGACCUUUGAGGAGGCAGAGCAUAUCUCUUCUUUCUCCAGCUUUCCAGUUGUUUUUUCACAUUCCAUAUUAGCUUAGCCUAACACAGAGUCAGCUAGCAGAGUAGAAAUGGGACAUGAAGAGUUCCAGCACUAGCAUAACAAAGCAGAGAAUAAAAGGGUGGAUUUAGAGCUGAUACCACAGCUUCACAACUGGAUCAAAUAUACAAAUGGUAGACUGAUUGAAAGAAUAAAGAAACAGAGAAAAGAAUGAAGAAGUGAAAUAUUUAUUUACUUGGUGGCUGAGUUAGAAUCAAAGUGCUCUGCUUUCCAGAUUUCUCCAUAAUGCACUCUAAUACCUGCAUUCCUCAAAACUAAAUAUAUGUUGAAAUUUUUGAAUCAUAUGACAUUUAAAUAUAUUAAGGAGAUUUACUAUUUAUAGGAAUAUUAUGGCAAAUUGUUUUGCAAGAUAAAUAACUAGUCGCUAAUUUAACUGGUUCAAAACUCAGAAUUUGUAUACACUUUGUUUGCUUAAGCAAAUUAAAUCUAAGUGAAAAAUAUGAGGUUCACAAACCAUAAGACCUACUUGGCUCCCAGAGGACUUUCUCAGCAUAUAAUAGUGUGCCAGAUUGAGUGGCACAAUUUUAGUUCCUGGCAAGAUGAUAAAUAAACACAAGCUCCUGUGUUCCCUCACUCCCACCAUGGCCCAACCUUGAAAGUGCUACAGACGAGAAAGGGUUUAGGGUAACAUUUUAGUUUUAUUAUUUUUCUGUCUGCAAACUAUCCUGUAUAGAUUAUUGUUUUCUCUUCCCUCACUCCCAUCACCAGUAGAGGUAGAAAAAUUAUUACACCAGCCAUAUACAACCAUAGACAUGGCACAAUAAGCCUAGCUAGAAAGGAGAAAAAAUAGUAAGUAAGUAAUUAAAAACAGUAAGCCCCUGAGCAUUCCCUCUGCUAUCCUUCACUCCCUCUACCAAUGAGGACUAAGUAAGCAUACAUACACUUAAGAGAAAAUGAUUAGAGAAUGUAAUUCCUGGGGAUAGGGUAGGAGUAAAUAUAAAGUGAAAGAGCACAAACUCUCUACAUCAUGUUACAUCUUCCUUUGACCCACACAAUCUAAAUUUACCAAGAGAUGUAUAAACUAAGGCUUGAGUUUUGGCUUUUCAACCUGAUUUACACAUUACCAGCCAAUGUAGCUAUUGCAUACUAUUCCUACAAAACAAGAAAAAUACUAGAUAACUGAGAAAAGCAAAAUCUACAAUAAAAACACAAUUCAAUGAUUUAUACUAGAUGGAGCCUAGAUAUAUUAUAGCAAAAUAUUUAAGAACACUAAAGACAAAAAGAACAACUCAAAAUUGUUUUAGAAAGAAUAGUGGAAAACAGAGUAACAUGGAGAAAAUGCAAAGGGAAUGAGAAAACAGGAUGUCUUAUUCGGGAUGAAGAUAUUAACAUAUAUAUAUAUAGAGAGAGAGAGAGAUUUAUUUAAUGCAAGAAUACAAAUAGAAUGUGUAACUUUCAUAGCAACAGAAAAAUCAAUAGAAAAUAUGCAGUAAAGGAGAAAAAAGAAACAAAAAAGGCAUAUGGCAAGAGAGACAAAUAUAACAAUAAUUAAAAUAAUUUUUUAAUUCACCAAUUAAAAAUUAUAAACUAUCAUACUGAAUAAUAAAACUAGCAUCUACUAUACAUCAUAUAUGUGUGGAUUAAAACUAGAAUGUCAUAGGUUGAAAUUAAAGAGAAAGGAAAAAAUAUACCACACAGUUACGAAUCAAAACAAAGGUAACCAUUUUAAUAUCAGAAAAUAAAUAUAACUCAAAGGUACACACACACACACACAAAGAAAGAAGAAUGUAGGGUACUGGUAAAAGAAAUAAUCUACAUAAUACAGGAUUCAAACAUGCUUAUGAACCCAACUCCAUAGCCCCAAAAGAUAUCCAGUACAACAAUGACAGAACUGUAAUGAGAAAUUGAAAAUUGAGAGUUACUUAAUUUGUGUGGGGAAAACUGCGUUGUUUUGUUUUUAUAGAGAAAAAAAUCAAACAGAUUUUUACAUAAAUAAAGUGCAGAUAGAUUAAAAUUUUGAUUGUAGAAAAAAAUAAAAGUAAUAGAAGAAAUUUCAGAAUAUAUCUGUAACCUGCUGAUGGAAAAGUAUCUUUUAAUCUUUAAAAAACCCACAAAAUACACAGCAACAACAAGACAACAACACAGAUUUAUUUGAUAGCAACAAAAUAAAAUUUUGUGUUUAAUGCAAGUUAUUAUAAGUAUUGCAAAAAACAAAUAGUACUUUGGAAGAAUAUAAUUGCAGUCUAAAAUUUAAAAUAUAUUAACACCUGGAAUUUAAGUGGAACUCCAGAAAAACAGAAAUAAUUAUAUCAAAACCCAAUAUAAAAAUGGACAAAGACUAGGAAAAGCCAAUUAUAAUGAUUAUUACAGAAGACAAAUUAAAAUACAUGUGAAAUACAAGUGGUAUCCCCUAAACUUAUCAAAAAAUAACAAAAAUAGAAUAUCAGAUAAUAUCACAUGUUAGAAUAUGAGUAGAUAAAAACUUCACAUACUACUGAUAGAAAUAUUCAGGUAUAGCCAUUCUGGAAAUAAAUCUGAGAAGACCUAAUGAAAUUAAAUUAAAUACAGUACAUACUAAAACUCUUUAAUUCUACUCGUGUGGUAGUCAGGGCAGUGUUUCCUUUGCAGUAGUUGCAUACCCUGAAAUACUCCACAGCAAUAAUGAACGAGAAGUCAACGCAGCAACUUGAAUAUCUUAAAAAUACAGUGUUGGCCUUUUAAACAAGGAUG
rnacentral:lncRNA from 1 species